GAGUUCACACUAGAUGAAUAAACACAAUGAGUCCCGCCCACAGACUUUCUGACGAAUGCAGGUGGAGCGCGCCGAAAAGGGGCGGUCUCGCUCGUUUCCCGCGUGAAAUUAGUGGAUUUCCCUCCAAAACUGUAGAUGUGUAUUUAAAUAGCUGUUGGAUCGUCACUCUGGUUCCAGCGGCUCUACUCUGAGGACACGAAUACGGUGAACAGUGGGACUUGUCUUCAGCUUCAGGUGGAACAGCUCUGACCUGUAUGGUGAUCAGACCCGGAGAGGAGACACACCUGGUCCAACCAGGUGAUGUAUGGACAGUUGAAAGGACGAAUCACCAAGAUGAGCCAAUCAAUGGAGACGAGCCGCCACAGGAGCCUGAACCUGUACUUCACGAGGGGGAUCAAACAUGGCUGAUAUAUCUGCAGUUCACUGCUCGUUUCUCCAGAACGAGAGCAGCCAGGAGCUGAAAGUUGUGGGCAGA